GGGCCCGUGGUCCAGUGGUUAAGACGCCACCCUCACAAGGUGACUGGGUUCGGUGGUUACCGGGGUUCGAAUCCCCGCGGGCCCA
rnacentral:tRNA from 1 species